UACGUAGGGAGCGAGCGUUGUCCGGAUUCAUUGGGCGUAAAGAGCUCGUAGGCGGCCACUCAAGUCGAAUGUGAAACCUCGAGGCUUAACCUCGAGCCUGCAUUCGAUACUGGGCGGCUAGAGUCUGGUAGGGGGAUCUGGAAUUCCUGGUGUAGCGGUGGAAUGCGCAGAUAUCAGGAGGAACACCGGUGGCGAAGGCGGGAUCCUGGGCCAGUACUGACGCUCAUGCACGAAAGCGUGGGGAGCAAACAGG
rnacentral:rRNA from 1 species